GACGAACGCUGGCGGCGUGCUUAACACAUGCAAGUCGAACGGAAAGGCCCUGCUUUUGUGGGGUGCUCGAGUGGCGAACGGGUGAGUAACACGUGAGUAACCUGCCCUUGACUUUGGGAUAACUUCAGGAAACUGGGGCUAAUACCGGAUAGGAGCUCCUGCUGCAUGGUGGGGGUUGGAAAGUUUCGGCGGUUGGGGAUGGGCUCGCGGCUUAUCAGCUUGUUGGUGGGGUAGUGGCUUACCAAGGCUUUGACGGGUAGCCGGCCUGAGAGGGUGACCGGCCAUAGUGGGACGGGAAAACGGCCAAGACCCCUAGGGGGGGAAGAAGGGGGGAAAAUUGCAAAAUGGGGGGAAGCGUGAGGCAGAAACGCCGGGGGGGGGAGGAGGGCCUUGGGGUUGAAAACCGCUUUCGCCUGGGACGAAGGGGGAGGGACGGGAAGGGGAAAAAAAGCACCGGCAAACUACG
rnacentral:rRNA from 1 species